rnacentral:rRNA from 1 species
CCGGAAAAAGAGGAGUGGCGAACGGGUGAGUAACACGUGGGUAACCUGCCCAUCAGAAGGGGAUAACACUUGGAAACAGGUGCUAAUACCGUAUAACAAUCAAAACCGCAUGGUUUUGAUUUGAAAGGCGCUUUCGGGUGUCGCUGAUGGAUGGACCCGCGGUGCAUUAGCUAGUUGGUGAGGUAACGGCUCACCAAGGCCACGAUGCAUAGCCGACCUGAGAGGGUGAUCGGCCACAUUGGGACUGAGACACGGCCCAAACUCCUACGGGAGGCAGCAGUAGGGAAUCUUCGGCAAUGGACGAAAGUCUGACCGAGCAACGCCGCGUGAGUGAAGAAGGUUUUCGGAUCGUAAAACUCUGUUGUUAGAGAAGAACAAGGAUGAGAGUAACUGUUCAUCCCUUGACGGUAUCUAACCAGAAAGCCACGGCUAACUACGUGCCAGCAGCCGCGGUAAUACGUAGGUGGCAAGCGUUGUCCGGAUUUAUUGGGCGUAAAGCGAGCGCAGGCGGUUUCUUAAGUCUGAUGUGAAAGCCCCCGGCUCAACCGGGGAGGGUCAUUGGAAACUGGGAGACUUGAGUGCAGAAGAGGAGAGUGGAAUUCCAUGUGUAGCGGUGAAAUGCGUAGAUAUAUGGAGGAACACCAGUGGCGAAGGCGGCUCUCUGGUCUGUAACUGACGCUGAGGCUCGAAAGCGUGGGGAGCAAACAGGAUUAGAUACCCUGGUAGUCCACGCCGUAAACGAUGAGUGCUAAGUGUUGGAGGGUUUCCGCCCUUCAGUGCUGCAGCUAACGCAUUAAGCACUCCGCCUGGGGAGUACGACCGCAAGGUUGAAACUCAAAGGAAUUGACGGGGG